CCUUCCUGAGCAUUCUUCGGGAGGCACUUGUGAAACUCAGCCCAGGUGCUGCCCAGGAUCAGGAGGCUGAGACGUGAUCUGGAAGUGAGUGCCCAUCCAUACACCUUCCCCAGCUUUGGGGCCACAGAGGGACAGAAACCGCAGGCAGGCUGGCCUGGGAAUGAACCUACACCAGCCUGAAGUCAGAAGAGCCUCUAGGAGCCUCCAGCCUGGACUCUUUUUACAGAUGGGGAAACUGAGUCCCAGAGAGGGAGCAAUGAAGGAUGUCUAAGGUCAUCAGCAACGUAAAGCCAACAGCAUCAUCCUGAGUCAUGUUUGAACCUGAGGGACUCUGAUUACACUGGACCUAUCCAAGAUCUGAGAUCAUCAACUCAUCUCAAAAUCCUUAAGCUGACCACAGCAGCAUCGUCCCUUUUGCAGUGUAAGAGAAGGAACACAGGCUCAGACAUCAGUGCCAUAUCUGAAGACAUUCAGCUAAUAACAGGAUGGAGUCCAAUCUGAAACAACUGUCACGCUGAGCCUAAUUGCUGAAGAUGGUUGAAGGCACCAGGAGGCUGGAGUUUCCUGGAGGUGGUUUGUGGCCAACCGUCAAUUACUUGGGCUGCUGUGCAGUGGGGAUAGAAGGAUGAUUAGAAUCCACAGACAACCCAUUGGCCUUUGUUUACCAUUAACUUCUGUUUUCUCCACCAGCCAAGCUCCUCCAGACCCAGGAGAUGGCUCUUCCCUCUGUGUAGCACACUCUUUCCAGUCAAGGGGUCUUGCACUGCUAUUUCCCCUUCUGCUUUGCUUGGUUCAUUCUUACUGACCCUCCAAAUACUGAAGGAAUGAAUGGAGAAAUAAGUAAAUGAGAGAUGUGGCCAAGAGUCUCCAAGAGAGGAAAUUAAAAAAUCCUAUACCUGUGAGGAACUGGCCCACUUGCAAAAGGCGGACUCAUUUGUCACUGUGUUUGCUGGCUGCUCGCACCACACAGUUUCCAGCCUAGGCAUUAUUUCCAACCUCUUUUUCCAAAGGGUCUUUCUAAGGUACAGAAAAUGGACAUAAAAUCGCCCAACGUAGUUGAGAGGUAAGGAGUAAAAGCCGGAAUUUGAACUCCUAAUCUCCUGCCACGAUUUCAUGCUGCCUCUGGGUAAUCUCCCAGCACGUUGCUUAAUCAGCUGCUGAGUCAUUGAGAGCCGGCAGAACCAGCUUCCUGCUGAGGCAGAGUGGGAGGAGGCCCGUCUGGGAGCAGCACACUGAAGGAAGGGAGGAGGAGGUGAUGUUUGGCACAAUCGGAUUGGUUCCCAUGAGGUCCAGGGCUGCGGCUCCUACAGAAGGCACUUUUUGCAUAUGGUAGGCUUCACGGGGUGCAACCUCUGUGUUGUUAGGAGAACCUCGUGCUUGCUAUGAUGCUCUGCUGUCAUUAUCUUGAAAUUCUUAGUCACAUUAAAACACGGGAGCCUACAUGUUUAUUUUGCACUGGAUCCUGCAAAUUAGCCAGUCCUGGUACUGAGGGCAGGUCCCUGGGUGAGUCUCACACAGCCUCCAUCCUUUGGUAAAGCAGCUUUCCUGAUUUAGCAAAUGCCUUACCAGAAAGCCUUUUCCUUGAAGAUGCUUUAACUUUUGUCUUCCCUGGCAAAGCUGUUUCCUUAUGGUAAAGCACCCAGCUCAUAGCUGAUAUUCAAUCCAUGAAGUAGCUCUGUCAGCAGCUGUCAUCAUGAAGACUUUGCAGCCUGCGGGUGGUAGCAUUCUGAAUCGUCAGUCUGUCUCGCUCCUGUAGCAAAUGCACGAUCCGGGAAAGCAUGUCCCAAGCUUUGUUCUGGAGAAGAUUUCUCCAGCUAUCAGAUGGUGUCUGUCAUCACAAUAGCUUAGGAGAUGCUGCUCACUCCAUCCUCCUCACUAAGUGUCACAGUACACUUGGGUAUGUACAAGUCUCUGAGAAGUCCAGCAGCAAAGACACCUUUGUGUUUUGCUGAUUCUAGCCUUUCCUAGACUAGAAGUCUUUUUUUCUAGUCUAGGAAAAGACUGUGGAAUCUUUUCUUUUUUUUCCUGAUACACACAUUCACAUUCCGUGGAACAUUUAGGACGUGGUUAUCUGGUCCUAAAGUAGUAAAGGUGAAGAUGUUGUGGGAGGUGCAAGAAAGAGCAGCAAGGAGUAGAUGGGGCACACUGCAAAGUGCGAUCCCCACAUACCUAAGUUAGUAUCAAUUACUACUAACAAAACUCGGCCAAGACUCUUUUGCAUUCGUUUUGUUUCUCUCUUUUACCCUGAUUAUAUUAAGAAAUAUGACAGGCCUGUGACUCACUGAUUAGACCAUCUUAGUCACUUUGGGUUGUCCCAGCAACAGGAGACUUAACUCUGACCAUAGGUAAGGAGCCCAGAGGACAGGAGAGCAGGGAUUUCUGAGGAUUUAACAAAUGCUUAUAAACAAAUGAUAUCACUUUGAACAAAGUAAUCAAAGUAUCAAAUGCUAUAAACACCACAGUAGGGCAAUGUGUGAAUCAUACUUGUGGUGAGACAUACAUAGAUCAGCUGCAAAGAGGAACUCAAUUCUGCAGAACCUCAGCUGGAGUAACUGAUGUGAAACAUGGACAGGGAAAUGGAAGGAAGUCAGCGGACACGGAAACUCUAGGAACUGAACUUUGACAAGGAACGCCGUCCAUAAUCCCAAGUCCUAUGACUUCAUAGAGGAAAAAAACCCUAGUGGAGCAGAACAGGGCCUCAUAGAGGGGCUGGGGCCUCACUGAGGGCUGGGAAGUUUGAUAGGACUUCCCUUGCUGGUAAGGAACAAAACUGGGUCUCAGGUUCAGGUUUGUAAAGCUAAUUUCAUACAUUUGCAGCAGAUGCUGUCAGUGUCCCUCCCCAAGCCCCUCAGCACUCAGCAUUCAUAGACAUCCUCAUCUUGCAAGCACCUGAGUCUCUCUCUGUAAGGUUUCUGUUGGCCUCAGGGCAGACCAGGGUACCAGGGAGGGCAGACCAGGGUACCAGGGAGCACAGCCCUCAAAGAAAGAUGACAGGAGUUGGUGUAAAUCUCAUGGCUUUCAUGUUACUUAGGGGGACCAAUGCUGAGGCAUGCUUAGCAUGAUCCUCUGUGAGACUGGGCCUCAGGUGUCCGCUGCAGCCGCCUGUUCAUUAGUGUGACAUGCACGGGAUUCCUUCCGUAUCCUGGCCCCUUUCUCUACUUCCCAACCGUGCUUCCUGAGACAUACUCAAAUCCUUGUCUCACACUUGGCUUCUGGGAGAAUCCAACUGCAAAUGCUGUGUUUUAUUUUUUAUUUAUGUAUUUAAUUAUUUGGAGAUAGGGUCUCCCUCUGUCACCCAGGCUGGAGUAAAAUGGCACAAUCCUAGCUCACUGCAAUAUUAAACUCCUGGGCUCCAGUAAUCCUCAGCCUCCAGGAGCUGGAACUACAGUCGUGCACAGCAAUGCCAGCUAAAGUUUCCUUUAAAUUUUUUGUAGAGUCAAGAUCUCACUAUUUCAGUCAGGUCUUGAACUCCUUGCCUCCCAAAGUUCUGGGAUUACAGCACUUGGCCUCCCAAAGUGCUGGGAUUACAGGCGUGAGCCACUGCAUCUGGCUGUUUAUUCCAUUAAAAUGAUUGAAGGAGUCUCUUGCUUUGGGAAUUUUGCUCCCGUGGUGAGAACACUAUGGGAAUGACAUCUCAAGAAUAUGGCUCCUUCAAAUGAAUUUAAAAUGGUCUUUCUAUUUUUGUCCAGUGGUUACAAUAGCUGAUGGGCUCGAGGUAAGGAGAUGCUAAGCUGCCAUUCUCUCCUUCAACCCAUGGCAUUUACUGAGCUUCUAAAUCAGUCAGGCCCUGGGCUGGACCCUGGGCAUGCAGACUGAAUCAGAGCCUUCAGGACUAGCAGGAGAGACAGGUAUAUAUAGUGGCAAGGGCAAUAUUUAUUCACUCAUUCAUUCUUUUUCCUUUUUUAUGUGCCAAAUCUUUAAUGAGGGCCUACCUUGUACUCAGGAACACCAGGAAUAAACAGAAAACAAAAAGAUAUCAUUUCUGGACUCAGUUCACCAUCUAGAGAAAAAAAAAAAAAAAAAAAAAGACCUGAAAUGGACAAAUACAGUACUGUUUGACAAAUGUCACGUAAGAAGAAGCCCAUGAUACUGAGGAUGGUAUAGGAGGGGCCGUAUCCAGGUUGAAGGAGUCAAAUAUGACAGCUGCCGUGAGAAUUACAAUCAGAAAACCAUGACCCGGAUGCUUAUCCUAUUCAUUGCUUGAGCCUGAGAACACAAACACACAGGGUGUGGCUGAAAUUCCUCUGAAAUUGUAUUGAUUUGAGAAAACUGCAAUCUUGUGUUAAAAUGUGAAUCAUACACAAGGAUGCAAAACAGUUACCGCUGACCAUAAAUCUAGGCUAUCAGAAUGGAAUCUGAUGGCUUGUCUACCAGACUGCAUUGUGAAACCAAUCAAAUGGGAGAUAGACUCACCACUUACCAAGUACCUCUGAGACACCAGGCACCCUGUGGGGUGCCCUACUCAUCAUCUUGUUUAACCAGUUGAUUGGGAAUAGCUCCAUUUUACAGAGAAAGACUGUUAGGCAGCUUUCUAAGAUGGCCCUAAUUAUUCCUUCCUUCUGGUAAUCCCCUUCCUUUAAAUGUGGGCUACACUUAAUUACCUGCUUUUAACAAACAGAAUAUAGCAAAAGUGAUGGGAUGUCAGGAGACUGAAUCAGUAACCAAAAACCUCCAGACAAAGAAAAGCCCAGGGCCAGAGGGCUUCACUGGUAAAUUUACCAAACAUUUAAAGAAGAAUUAGCACCAGUCUUUCUCAAACUCCUCAACAAAUUGAAGAGGAGAGAACACUUCUAAAUACACUUUAUGAGGCCAGCAUUACCCUAACAUCAGAGCCAGACAAAGACACAAGAAAAGAAAACUACAGACUAAUAUUUCUAAUGAAUCUUGAUGCACAAAUCCUCAAAAAAGAAGAAAACAUACUAGCAAACAUAAUUCAGCCGCACAUUAAAAGGAUUAAGCACCAUGACAAAGUGGGAUUUAUUCUUAGUAUAAAAGGAUAUUUCAACGUAAAAAAGUCAAUGUAAUAUAUCACAUUAAUAGAAUGAUGAGAAAAAAUCCACAAGAUUAUCCCAAUUGAUGCAUUUAACAAAACUUAAUACUCUUUCAUGAAAAAACACUCAACAAACCAGGAAUACAUGAAACUACCCCAACAUAAGACAGUCCACAAAUGAAAAGCUCACAACCAACAUAAUACUCAUGGUGAAAAGCUGAAAGCUUCCUCUAAGAUCAGGAAUGAGACAAAAAUGUCCACUUUUGAAUCAACCUGUAUUCAACAUAGUAUAAGAAGUCCUCGCCAGAAUUUUCAGGAAAAAAAAAAAAGAAAGAAAAAAAAGCCAGUCAAAUUGAAAAGAAAGAAGAAAAAUUAUCUUUGCUCACAAAUGACAUGAACUUAUAAAACUCCUAGAAUUAAUAAAUGGAUGCUGCAAUGUUGAAGGAUACAAAAAUCAACACACAAAAAUCAGUUAUGUUUUUAUAUACUAACAAUGAAUGAGCCAAAAAUGAAAUUAAAACAAUUCCAUUUACAAUAGCAUCAGAAAGACUAAAAUACCUAACAAUAAACUUAACCAAGGAGGUAAAAUGCUUGAGUAUUUAGACACUAAAAAUUAUAAGGCCUGCACGGUGGUUCAUACCUGUAAUCCCAGCAUUUUGGGAGGCAGGUGGAUCACUUGAGGUUAGGAGUUUGAGACCAGCCUGGCC
rnacentral:lncRNA from 10 species